UUUGUUAACCAUACAAGAUUUAAGUAUUGCAUCAUUUCAAGUUGUGAAUAAUUAUAUAGAUAAAACAAACUGUAAUCACCAUUCUACAGGUCCAUUGUGUGUGAAAGCAGAACAUCAAUAGUAUAUCACUUACUUAAAGUAGUAGUAUUCUUCUAGGUUUAUGAAAUCAGUCAAUUUACAUUGUACAAUUUAGAAAAUCAAUAGAACUGUACAGUUUACAGCUGAGUGUAAAUUGUGUCCAAAUACCACUAUUUCAUCGAUACUUUUGAGUCCUUUGUAUAUAGAGUUAUCUUGUUUAUUAUGUGUUUAUUAUGAUGAAAUUAUAUUUUUACAAAAGAAAAUCAAAAUUACUUGUAUUAUUUGUGUAAUAGAUUUUUUUCUUGUAAAUAUUUUGUGUAACAGUGGGUAUUUGAACUGUUCUUGUAAACCUACAUGACCUUUGUGUCAAGGUUUCUUGUUUUCCCCACACAUAUUGUGAUAAAGAGCUUUAUCUUGAAAGUUUAGUUGUAGUGCCAAGGGAGAUAAUAAAGUCUAAAACACUGGU
rnacentral:misc_RNA from 1 species